CGUUGAGAAACAGGUGCUAGGUAUGAACGAGUAAGCUACUAAAAAUAGGCGAGAUAUGGUUUCAAUAGCCUAAGAGUUCAUGGAAAGGGAUUCACAGAUAAGCGUGGGCAUGGGAAAGUAAAGUUAUGUAUGCAAGAGACAGGUAUGCACGGAAUAGGGAUAAGCGAGCACCGGGAGAGAUAUGCCAGUAAUAGGACUAGGUUUAGAGAAAUAGGCAUAUGUGAAUAGGGCUACUAGAUCAUUAAAGUAUAGGUUUUGGGUAAGCUCGCUCAUAUCGAAAGAAGAAAUCGAAGGAAAUGAAGCAUAAGCUGACUAGGUCAAAUCCUAGGCUAUUUCGAUAGACAAAAGAAAAUAGAAAAAGUAGUGAGUGAGAAAGAAAUAA